UGGAACUUGUUGGUGAAGAAGAAGCAGAGGAGCAGGUUCCCGUGUCCUUGAAUAGUACCAGUAAUCCACCAUCCCUAUCACAGACUGCUGAAAAGCUACAGAACCUGAGGAUGAAACCAA